rnacentral:rRNA from 1 species
GAUGAACGCUGGCGGCGUGCUUAACACAUGCAAGUCGAACGAAGCACUUUAUUUGAUUUCCUUCGGGACUGAUUAUUUUGUGACUGAGUGGCGGACGGGUGAGUAACGCGUGGGUAACCUGCCUUGUACAGGGGGAUAACAGUUGGAAACGGCUGCUAAUACCGCAUAAGCGCACGGCAUCGCAUGAUGCAGUGUGAAAAACUCCGGUGGUAUAAGAUGGACCCGCGUUGGAUUAGCUAGUUGGUGAGGUAACGGCCCACCAAGGCGACGAUCCAUAGCCGACCUGAGAGGGUGACCGGCCACAUUGGGACUGAGACACGGCCCAAACUCCUACGGGAGGCAGCAGUGGGGAAUAUUGCACAAUGGGCGAAAGCCUGAUGCAGCGACGCCGCGUGAGCGAAGAAGUAUUUCGGUAUGUAAAGCUCUAUCAGCAGGGAAGAUAAUGACGGUACC